GGAUAACCUACCCUUAGGACUGGGAUAACCUUGGGAAACUGAGGCUAAUACCGGAUAGGCAAUUUUUCCUGUAAUGGUUUUUUGUUUAAAUGUUUUUUCGCCUAAGGAUGGGUCUGCGGCCGAUUAGGUAGUUGGUUAGGUAAUGGCUUACCAAGCCGUUGAUCGGUACGGGUUGUGAGAGCAAGAGCCCGGAGAUGGAACCUGAGACAAGGUUCCAGGCCCUACGGGGUGCAGCAGGCGCGAAACCUCCGCAAUGUGAGAAAUCGCGACGGGGGGAUCCCAAGUGCCAUUCUUAACGGGAUGGCUUUUCAUUAGUGUAAAGAGCUUUUGGAAUAAGAGCUGGGCAAGACCGGUGCCAGCCGCCGCGGUAACACCGGCAGCUCUAGUGGUAACAAUUUUUAUUGGGCCUAAAGCGUCCGUAGCCGGUUUAAUAAGUCUCUGGUGAAAUCCUGUAGCUUAACUGUGGGAAUUGCUGGAGAUACUAUUAGACUUGAGACCGGGAGAGGUUAGAGGUACUCCCAGGGUAGAGGUGAAAUUCUGUAAUCCUGGGAGGACCGCCUGUUGCGAAGGCGUCUAACUGGAACGGUUCUGACGGUGAGGGACGAAAGUUAGGGGCGCGAACCGGAUUAGAUACCCGGGUAGUC
rnacentral:rRNA from 1 species